GGUUGCAACAAAAAAGUUUGAGAGGGGCAGUUUCGGCCCGCGCCGGAGAUGAAGCAGCCGAGCGUCCCCGGCUUCGGUCAUCCGGUGAGGGAAAAAAAUGAGGACGAAUCCGGCCGACGACACCGCGACAACACCACCUCCCGUGGUGGACGGGCGCGGUCCCGCGGGGCUCCCCGGUGGCAGACUAGCCGCUCCGGAUAUGAAGCAGCCGAGCGUCCCCGGCUUGGGGGCGUGCUGCACCGUUACGGCGGGAGGCUAUGGCGGCGGUGGCCGAGGGGGACCUAGGAAUGGGGCUUCGCGGCCGCUGUUGCCGAGGUUGAAGCGGGAGCGUUGCCGGGGCAUGUCUGCUGCCUGCUGGUAGGUUGAUUGCGCCCACAUUGCGAAGGAUGCCAGGACGGAUUGUGCGGCCUGGAUGGCUGGAUGAAGUAAUCACUUUGGGGAGACUUCUCCGGUUGUUAGCCUGUCUUUGCACUGGGACAGUAACGCAUAGCUUCCUAAUUAAAGCCAGCUGGCUGUGACCUGGUGCUGAAGACUUUGAGAGAUUUAAAUGCAGCGGGCAAAUUGUCAAGCUGAGAAAGAUAAGCCAAAACUCAUAGCCACCGUGGCUGGAGCUAUGACUGGAUCUAUCUAUUGAAGUGAUGGUAACCUGUGGCCGCGUUGAAACUGCGUCAUGUCGAUCUGUGCAUCACUGGCAAAACUUGGUGGGGGUAGAGUUUGUAAACUCGGUCUUGUUUUAUAGUUUUUUUUUCUUUUGGAAUUCUAGAUGACAGGCCUUAUGCUGGACACUACAUUGACUAUUGAGGCAUUUGAUUUGACAGGGUUGUAAGAAGUUCCAUGAGCGAGGAUGACGUAUUGAUGUUGCUGCAUAGGAGGGAAUGAAACUUGGAUAGAGGGCGAAUUCUGUGAUUCCCUUCGUCUCAGCCGAUCCAGGGUGUCCAUGCCGGCAUGGCCUGCUGUUGGCCUGUUUGAAACUGGUUUUGUGCGAGCGGAUUACUUGAGCUGGUAACAAACAAGUGCUGAGAGUGACGGUGCCACCAAGUCCAGGCAUAGGCGCGGCAUAGGCGUUCCUGUCAGCAAUCCGAAGCCCAGGCAUAGGCGCGGCCCAGCGUCCAGGCCCAGACAGUGUCGACUCUGCUGAAAAGAAAAUGGCCGUGUCCCAAUCUCUGUUUUUCUUCUCUGUUCUUUCCUUUUUGUCAGUUUGUAUUGCAACUUUCAGGCCCCUCAAUGAAAAGACACUUGCCCUCC